rnacentral:pre_miRNA from 1 species
CCCAUACUCUUGUGUGUAGGAUCCCAAAAGAUCACCAUUAAAUUUGAUAUAGAUCUCUAAAAAAAUUAUCACAUGGGUGUGGCACUUAACUUUUCUAGAGAUCUAUGUCAAAUUUAAUGGUGAUCAUUUGAAGUCCUACACACAGGGGUGUGGG